rnacentral:rRNA from 1 species
GACGAACGCUGGCGGCGUGCCUAACACAUGCAAGUCGAACGGAAAGGCCCUGCUUUUGUGGGGUGCUCGAGUGGCGAACGGGUGAGUAACACGUGAGUAACCUGCCCUUGACUUUGGGAUAACUUCAGGAAACUGGGGCUAAUACCGGAUAGGAGCUCCUGCUGCAUGGUGGGGGUUGGAAAGUUUCGGCGGUUGGGGAUGGACUCGCGGCUUAUCAGCUUGUUGGUGGGGUAGUGGCUUACCAAGGCUUUGACGGGUAGCCGGCCUGAGAGGGUGACCGGCCACAUUGGGACUGAGAUACGGCCCAGACUCCUACGGGAGGCAGCAGUGGGGAAUAUUGCACAAUGGGCGGAAGCCCGAUGCAGCAACGCCGCGUGCGGGAUGACGGCCUUCGGGUUGUAAACCGCUUUCGCCUGUGACGAAGCGUGAGUGACGGUAAUGGGUAAAGAAGCACCGGCUAACUACGUG